UACCGGGGGAGCAAGCGUUAUUAGGAAUCACUGGGCGUAUAGCGCGUGUAGGCAGCUCUGCAAGUCGGGUGUGAAAUCCCGAGGAUCAACCUCGGAACUGCACUCGAUACUGCUUGGCUCGAGUCCCGGAGAGGGUGGCGGAAUUCCCGGUGUAGGGGUGAAAUCCGUAGAUAUCGGGAGGAACACCAGUGGCGAAGGCGGCCACCUGGACGGUGACUGACGCUGAGACGCGAAAGCGUGGGGAGCAAACAGG
rnacentral:rRNA from 1 species